rnacentral:rRNA from 1 species
UUUCGACCUGAGGUCAGGCAAGAACACCCGCUGAACUUAAGCAUAUCAAUAAGCGGAGGAAAAGAAACUAACUAGGAUU